rnacentral:rRNA from 1 species
UACGUAGGGGGCUAGCGUUGUCCGGAUUUAUUGGGCGUAAAGAGCGUGUAGGCGGCCUGGUAGGUCUGCUGUGAAAACUCGAGGCUCAACCUCGAGAUGUCGGCGGAAACCAUCUGGCUAGAGUCCGGAAGAGGAGAAUGGAAUUCCCGGUGUAGCGGUGAAAUGCGCAGAUAUCGGGAAGAACACCCGUGGCGAAGGCGGCAUCCUGGACCGGCAUUGACGCUGAGGAGCGAAAGCCAGGGGAGCAAACGGG